UCUCUGCCGCCAGCGACAGCAGCAAGCUUCGAUCUACGAACAGAACAAAAUACCCUGCGGAGUGCCAUGAAUGGGUGCAGCUGUCUCUUCUUGUCCCUGUUCUGUGGUAUCUGCCUGUCUGAUGUAACCCAGUCCCCCGACCAGAGCCGCGCUGAGUUGACUGAUGCAAAGAUUCAAUGCACCCACGACAUUCCGACUGGGAAUUACGAUUCCAUUUACUGGUAUUACCGGAAGGCCAGCACUGAACUGACUUACAUCGCUCACAGCUACAGUGGCGAGAGAAAUUCGGGGCGUUUCCGAGUCUAUGUUGACCGUGCCAACAGCUCCAGCCUUUUAACGAUCGGGACUUUACAGCCGGGAGAUGGUGCUGUAUAUUAUUGUGCCUUGCAGCGCACAAUGCUUCGCCUGCUGUAACACCCUGAACAAUAACUUGCCACGGAAGGAG